AUAGGCUAAAAUCUCGUUUUCGCGACAAGGAACAUUCCAAUACUUUCAUUUUACCGAAUACGAAACCAAAUAGGUUCACAUAUCAUGCUUCGCAUCAGGGGACAUGUUCAACCUUCAUAUUUAUGAAACUUCUAACAAUAUAAGCUAAAAUCUCGUUUUUACGACAAGGAUCAUCUCAUUACUUUCUAUUUAUCGAAUUUAAAACCAAAUAGGUUCAAAUAUUAUGUUACACAUCAAAGGACAUCGAAGGACAAAUUCAACCUUCAUAUUUAUCAAACAUCUAACCAUAUAGGCUAAUAUCUCAUUUUUGCGAUAAAGGUCAUUCCAAUACUUUCAUUUUACCGAAUACAAAACCAAAUAGGUUCACAUAUCAUAUUUCUCAUCAAGGGACAUCGAGGGACAAGUUCAACCUUUAUCAAACUUCAAACCAUAUAGGCUAAAAUCUCAUUUUCGCAUCAUGUUUCACAUCAAGGGACAAGUUCAAACUUCCCAUUUACCAAACUUGUAGGCAUAUAGACCAAAAUCACGUUUUUGCGACAAGGGUCAUUCCAAUACUUUCAUUUUACCGAAUACAAAACCAAAUAGGUUCACAUAUCAUAUUUCGCAUCAAGGGACAUCGAGGGACAAGUUCAACCUUUAUCAAACUUCAAACCAUAUAGGCUAAAAUCUCAUUUUCGCAUCGUGUUUCACAUCUAGGAACAAGUUCAAACUUCCCAUUUACCAAACUUGUAGGCAUAUAGACCAAAAUCUCAUUUUUGCGACAAGGGUCAUUCCAAUACUUUCAUUUUACCGAAUAUAAAACCAAAUAGGUUCACAUAUCAUAUUUCGCAUCAAGGGACAUCGAGGGACAAGUUCAACCUUUAUCAAACUUCAAACCAUAUAGGCUAAAAUCUCAUUUGCGCAUCAUGUUUCACAUCAAGGGACAAGUUCAAACUUCCUAGUUACCAAAUUUGUAGGCAUAUAGACCAAAAUCUCAUUUUUGCGACAAGGGUCAUUCCAAUAAGAUCUAAUGUCUCACUUAAGACCCUCAUUUUUAAGUGAGAUCCAUAUUUUUUUAAUAUUAAAAUUUAAAUGUAAUGAUAUAAAUUUAUUUACGGUUGAUUAACGAGUCUCAUUUUAAAAAAUUGUGUGAAAUGUUGAGUUGAAGUGAUCGAGUGUUUACUAAGUAUUACUAUAAAAAAUUUAUAAAUGAGUGUCGUGUACACGUAAUACCAAUUUAAUUCAGUACACAAAAAUGGACGUCUCUCUGUUGUGGAUGUUCUAAGUAUAUUUAAUUCACUAUUGUUUAUUUAAAAAAGCACUUCACUGUUUUGUUUAUGAAUAACAUUACUUUUUUUUUUCUCCUACAAAAAAUAACAGUACUUUGCAAUGUGUAUUUUUUUAUCUGUCCGAUUCUAAGAUAAAUUUAUUUUUUUUUAAGUUUUUUUUUUCUGGCACAAUCCUAAGAUAAAUUUAUUUUUUUAUUAAUUAAGAGUACAUUGGAAGAAAAAAAAUGUUGAAGCUUAUAUUUAUAUUAGAAAUCGUAACUAUUGUCUCUAAGAAAAAAUUGUCCGUAAAUAAGAGUAUUAUUUUAGUUUGCUAGAUACAGUUGCUAGACCCACUUAAAAACAUGUCACAUGAUUGACUCAAAAAAAAAAAAAUUUGCAACAUGUUCGUUUUCAAAAAGCAAAAUCAAUUACGGUUGUAAUAUUCAAGUGUGUCAAGUAGUCUUAAGUCGAUGGUUGUUAUUCAUGCGUCCAUGAUGGACAAAUUCAAGCAUAGUUCCAUUCUAAACGUCGACCAAAGGUAUAUCUUAACGAAGAGGAAAAAGUAAGUCUUUUUAAAAACAAAAUAUUAUAUUUAUUGGAGGUUCUUUUUCUGUUCACCAAUUAGAUACUCAGAAGUCAUAUCUACACCUAACUUUUUUAAAUUUUUAAUUUGUAUAGCACAUAUAUGGAAAGAAUACAUUUUUAGAAAAAUGUAUAACCCAUGUGCAAUCUUUAAACAUAUUCAUUCAAACCACUAACUUUUUUCUUUCUCAAUGCUUUUAGAAAGAGCUGGUUAUGCUUAUCUUACAAUAGAAAAAGAGGUAUUAGAUGGAAAAAGAAAACUUAUGUGCUUUUGUUUCAUAGUUUCUACUCUUAGCUGCUUGCAUAAUUAUUGCUUCUUAUAGCUCCCCAAACUCGACCAUAUCAACUGCUAACAAACAAACAAACCAAAAAAAUGUUAAAUAUUAAAACAAAACUAAAAUUAAUUGAAACAAGCACCUUACGAUAAAACUCAUCCUAGAUAUUUCUAUGUGGAGUCUUCCUACAGUAGUAUAAAUAAGGCUCAUCAUCAAGUGUGUAGGAUAGUCAAGCAUUGAAGCAUUCAAAUAAAAAUAUAUUUCUUUGAGAAUAUUAGAGAAUUUCUCUAUUUUCUCUACCUUUCAUUUUGUCCCUGAGCAAGAAUUGACACCAAAGCUGGUUACGAUACCUCGGAGUCGAGUUUUAGCGAAAAAAUCAACGGAAAGUGAGUUUUCAAGUGAGCAAGGAGUUGCAUGUGGAAAACUUCACUUUGCAGCCAUUUUGUUCGCGAAACUAACACUGUCAUUUUGUUUGGGAAGUGAAGAAAACCCUUGGUUAACAAGUCUUCACCACCAACAAAACCACCACUCACCACCACAAUCUUCACUAAAUAGUUUGUUGAACUACCAUCGUUAAAAUGCCACCUCGAAGACAAAAUGAAAGAAGUUUGCAAGAGAUGGAGAUGGAAGAAAUGAGGCGACAAAUUCAACAACUGCAAGAGACCAUCAAUGCCCAACAAGCCCUUUUGGAAGCACAACGAAUAAGAUUUGAUGAUGGCUCUGGUAGUGACUCUUCAUCAUCUAGAAGCAUUCGCUCACACCGACGUCAACUUCGGAUGAAUGAUAUCAAAAUAGACAUAGCCUUAGAUUGUGUGAAUCGUAAAGUAGUCACCAUCUUUAAUGGGGAGAUACAUGAUAUUUUUGAAGAAGAAAAAGAAGAAAUUCAAGAAUCGUUUGAAGGAGGGUCGUUGGGAGAACGAAUUUACGAUGAAUAAUAUGUUGGUGCUGACAUUUGUGAAGUGUUUUGAAGAAGAGGGAAAUAUAUAUCCAAUAUAUGAUGAUGAACAUGGUCCCGAUGACAUUCAUGAAGUCUUUGACAAAGAGGAGCAUGACAAACCAAUAUAUGAUGAAGAAUAUAUUCUUGUUGAAUAUGGUAAAUCUUGGGAGGUUAAAAAAAGCUUGCAAACAACAGCAGCCAAAGAAGAACCAUGGCUAGGAUAUGAUAUCUUUCAAACUCAUUGCACCUCUCAAGACAUGGCUUGUAACGACAUCAUCGAUAGCACAAGAUGUGAAAACAUUGCAUCAAACUAUAUAAUAAUUCCUAUUAUCGCAUAGAAUGUUGAAUUAUUUGCCAUUAUGACAGCAGGUUUGCUUUGCAUUUAAUGCUUGAUGAUAAGUGAGACUUAAAAGCUAUUUUUUUUCGCAAAGGAAUGCAAAUGCAGACUAACAUAAAGUAAAAACACUUUUCAACUUUCAAACAUAUCUCUAUAAACAAUCUCCAUAAAUAGUGGAAGACGCCUUGCUUUGAAGCAUUGGUGUCCAACUGCAUUUGUGGUGAGUUUCUCCAUUCUAUUAAAAAGAUUCCAGUUUUUCUUUCUUUAAAGCAUUAUUUUUCUAUACAAUCUGUCAAAAAAAGAAGAAAACUUUUACUUAAAAUACUUAAUUCAUAUGAACAUGUUUAUAACUAAAUCUGCUGAGAACAAAAAUUUCUCAACAUGGGCUAAAUCUGCAUUUAUAUUGUUGUAUGUAAAUGUUAAAACUGUUGAUUCAAUUGCUCCUACAAUGAAAUUUGUACUAAACAUGUUCAAUUGUUUGAAUGAACUGCAUGUACCAUGAAAGAUUAGAUAUGAGCUCUUACCAAGAAAUGAAUUGCUCUUUCUACGACUUACAAAUAUGAAAGAAUCGGUGAGAUUGUUUACAACUUCUAACUACAAUAUUUAACGUAUUUAACAUAAGCGUUAGAGCCUCUCAUAGUUGAUCAUGUACACAACUUAAAUUGAAAUUCAAAUUCAAGAAAUUAAAGUUUAAAGUUCGAUUUUUUUCUCUAUAAAUCACUAAAUUAUACAAAACUUAAAACUCAAAAGAGUAGUGGAUAACAUGAUUUAGUCCACCCAAAUAAACAAGAUUUAGUCGCCAAUUUAUUCAUAGCCUGGAUUAAAUGUCAAACAGAAGGGUAUGGAAGCCAACUAUUAAACAAAGAGACAAACUAUUCAAGAAGAAAACACAAGCAUUAAAUGCCUUGUAGCAAAUAUGAACAUAUUUAAAAGAAAACAGUCUAACGUAUCACUAAAAUAGAAUUUCAUGUUUCAAUGUUAAAUUCCAAGAGGAGAUUAGAGUUUAAGAUUGAAAUUGGGAAUGUGUGAUAAAUACAUAAAUGAGUAACCAAAUAAAUUAGAAUAAGGAUAAAGGUCUCAUAAAAUUUUGAAGAUUAAUUUUUUUGAAAACUGUCCACAAAAGAAGAAUCAUUUUUUAAACAAAAUAACAUUUUAUUUAAUAUAGGGUUAAUUAUAAAAUAAAAUUGAACACUAUUUAUAACUCUUAACUACCAUGUAAUGGUUUUUAAUUUAGGUUCAUAAAUUCCUACAUGGAUUUAUUCCUUCAAUCUAAAACCAAACAAUCCCAUAAAGAUCUAAGAUUAACAAAUUCAAACCCUUUUCUUAUUAAUCCAUAAGACAAGAUAGCACGUUAAGCAUCAACAAUGUAUCGAUCUGAGAUUUUAUUAGAAAAAGCUAGCAAGGGGACAGAAUCACGUGUCAAUUUGAGAAACGGAAAAAGACGUCAAUUAUUUUAAUGGAUAUUGACAUUAUCGAAAUGCACAUGUCUAUUGUUGUUGCAUCAAAAGAUGACAAAAAGAAGAAAUGCAUCAUAUGAUGGUUGGAUUCAAUUUGCAUUUGAUAACGUUUUGCAUAAGGGAGACAAAAUUUGUUGCAGUCUUCAGUUUGCUUUGAAUAACUUAUUUAUUGAGAUAUCUAUAACAACUUCGUAGAGUUGGAAUAAAAAUUAAAAUAUUAGGCGUUUUAGUGGAUGUUUGUCUAUCGUUUUUAUGCUUACUUUUUAACUUAAAGUAUUAUGCAAUAUAAAUAGAAGUUGGUGUAACAUGUCCUUUGUUUUUUUAGCUUGCUUGGAAGACUUGUCGGUUAUUGGGAUAAAUCUUUUACAACUUUUAGCGAGUUUAACGUGUUUGUGUGUUGUUAUGGUUUUUUAUCUUCACACAACUACUAUUAAUCAAUGAUAUUUAUCAUGAAUUGACGACAACAAUAAAUAACCUAAUUAUGACAUAAUUUUUACCACGUUAUGAAUUAGUUUGUCAUUGUCGUUUUCAACUUUAAUUAAAAAUUAAUUUCGCAUUUGUAAUCAAACUAAGGACAUAUGCAAGUGCUCCGAGCCGUGCGUUGCACAGGUGAGGACACUAGUUACUAAACAAUCAAAACCAAAAUGAAGCAGGUACCAAAACAAAGAGGAAAAACAGAACACAAAAAACUGCAGACUUAUAACAAUUGCCACAGCCGCAGGUAGUGCCAAAACUAAUUCCUCAAUACAGUGAUUAAACAAACAGCAACAAGCAAAAUUCAAGAGGACAAGCAAAACUCACAAGGUGCUAGCAAUUUAACAAAGAUAUUACAUCAAAUACGCACCACAAAGCAAGCUUACCUUUACUAUAGAUGUUUACAAAUAGGCUGUGUUUGGUAACACAAAAAAGCUAGCUUAUAGUUUGUUGGAUUAGCUUAUAAGCUCGUUAGAUGAAAAUGUGACGUGUUUGGUAACAAGCUUUUUUUAUGAGCUUAUAGCGUUUUUUGAAAAGCUAUUUCAAGUAGCUUUUUAGCUUAUAGCUGGUAGCUUUUUAUAUUUUCUUCCAACUUUAACCCUAUUAAUUUAAAUUAAUUAUUUUUUUAAUUAAACAACUACACAUGUUCAUCUUUAUAACCGCUCCAUUUUUUCCCUUAAAAAAAAUGCCAAGUAGUUUUUUUUAAGGAGCACUUUAUAUAUAUAUAUAUAUAUAUAUAUAUAUAUAUAUAUAUAUAUAUAUUAAGGAAAUGCUUUAUACCUUGUAAUAAUUAACCUGCCGUACACCACACAAAAAAUAACUAGCCUAUUUUUUUAAAGGAAAAAAUAACUAGUCUUUUUGUAUGUUAUAAAAUUUUAUAUAUUCUAACUCACUAUUUGUUUCCACCUUUCUCUUAAUUUUGGGAUACAUUAAGUAGAGAUCAAAAUUGUCGGUGAUUUUUUUUUUUUUUAGGAUUAAAGGUCGAAGAAUUUUUUUAUGGAGACUAAGACCAAAAGUUUGAAUAUUUAUAGGGACCAAAAACAUAUUUAACUAUAAAUAAAAAUAUUAAAAAAUAAAUACAUUAUAAAAAAAAUGUGUGUGUCUAUAUGUAUAUUAAAAAAAAAAACAUGUUCUUUUAUGUCAUUUUAUACUUAUCAGCCACUUCAACAGCUAAUUUUAUCAAAUACAUUAUUUUUAAUAAGCAGGCUUUUCAGCUAUAAGCUAUCAGCUAGCUUAUAGCUUAUUUUUACCAAACAGAACCAUAGUAUCCCAGUUGAUGAUAUAUCAAACAUUAUUUCUCGUGGCAACAAUAAUAUUCACCAAACAGCCGCUCCUUAUAAUCUCCCAGAUUUUACAAAAACACUUGCAUCACCGAAGGAAUUAUAAGCAUCAUCACCACAUAAAGACACAAAAUAAUCCACUGUCAUAACUAUUCAAGAAUAACAUAAAAUUAAGAUUUAUAUGAAACCAAAUCCAUUGAUGGAAACAAAUUUGAAAACCAGAACAAGCGUUUUAGAGUUACAUAUAAAUCUUAAAUAAGUACAAAGUAUCAUUAGAUUGACUACAAAUAUUAAAAUAAGCUAAAAAACAAUAAUAGGAUAUCCUAUAAUCUAAAGAAAAGCCAAGUAGCCAAUGUGAGGUAACUUCCAUUGCAUCAUGACUGUGAUCUUGUUGAAAAUCGCUAUUAUUUUCCGAUAAUUUCCUGCGCACAGUUGUAACAAUCCCUCCUUUGAACAAACAAUCUCUUGACCAAUUAUCAUACCAUUUGUUCUUGAUUUACCCAUGCGAAAGCUAAAACCUAUACUAUACUCUUGGCAUAUCUUACGUAGUAAUUCUUUACAUCUUCAAUUGAUGCAAAGUCCAUUCCUUCAAAGGGCUCUGAGGGGAUCUCUGAUGAUAGUCUAUCAUUGAGAGGAUCUGCAUCGAGAGCAAUUUCAAGGAUAUUGUCGUCACAGCCAGGCAUAGUGGUAUUUUCAUGCAUAUCUGUCAUCUCUUGAUCUACUAGCAGUACACACAAUCAUGUUAUGUAAAAGUGUAAUGACAUCAGAAUUCUUACCUACCAACAUAUCUAUAAUUAAAAUAGCGGUUUCACUUGAAAAGAGAGAAAAUAAAAACCACAUAAUAUGCCAUUAUAAAUGUGUAUUAUACUUGCACAGAAUAACAAUCACGCCACAUGUUAUAAAUAUCAACAAGAAAAAUAUUCUACUUAAAUAACUAAGAAAAACCAGUAGAAUAGAGUUUCAAAGAAUUGAUAAGACUUUGUACAUAAACAAUUCUAACUUGAAUCGCUUCAAAUAUCUAAAAGCUUACCGAAAAGGCGGAAACCCGUAGAAUAAAGGUGCAGAGAAUUGCUGAGCCUUUUGGAGUAAAGUCCUUAAUGAUAAUACAAAGGUUGCAGUUGCCAAAUAAAGAUCAUAACCGUAACUGUAGAGGAAGGGCGUGUGAGAUAUGAUGUUAAGCAACAACCAAGGACGUGAUAAAGAUGAUUUUUGAGGUUUUAUUUUAUUUUUUAUUCAAUUAAUUUCAUUAAACUGAUGUGGCAGAAUGCUGCAAUACUAUUGGAUGAGUGUGUAAAGAGUCUAAAAAAAAUAAGGACCUUAAUUGUUAAGCAUCAAAGGACAUCGAGGGACAAAUUCAACAGUCAUAAAGGCACAUUGUCAUACUUCCAAUUUACCGAAUUUAGAAUUAACUAUGCUUAAACAUCAAGUUUCACAUCAACUGACAUCGAGCGACAAGCUCAACCUUCCUAUUUAUCAAACUUCUAACUAUCUACGUUAAAAUUCAAUAUUUUCCGUCAAGGGCAGAUUUUGUUAAUGAUCCAAAAGACAAUUUAAACAUUAUAAUAGAAAACAAAACUCAUACUUCCAAUUUAUAGUUUAAAAACGUCUAUGCUCAAAUAUCACAUUUUUGUGUCAAGUGUCAUCGAUUCAAAAUAUAAACUUUCCUAUUUAUCAAAUUUAUAAUAAACUAGGUUUAAAUCAUUUUCGGGGUUGAGGAUCAUUGAGACACGUUCUCUGUAACGCCCACNNNNNNNNNNNNNNNNNNNNNNNNNNNNNNNNNNNNNNNNNNNNNNNNNNNNNNNNNNNNNNNNNNNNNNNNNNNNNNNNNNNNNNNNNNNNNNNNNNNNGUCCGACCAAUUAGUAAGUGGGGAGAAACGNAGAACUCAAUACCUUCCCAAAUUUAAUUAGGUUUAAAGAACGUGUCUAUGGCUCAAAAUAUCCACAUCUUUUUGUGGUCAGGGUGUCAAUCGGAUUCAAAAAUAUAAAACUUUCCUAAUUAAUCAAAAUUUAUAAUAAACUAGGGUUUAAAUCAUUUUCGGGGUUGAGGAUCAUGGAAGACACGUUCUCUGUAACGCCCCACUUUCCGUUUAUUGUUUUAUUUAUUGGGGUUAAGCCAAUUAUAUAAUAAUAAUAUAGAAAAGGCAGGAUUUGGUUAUGUUUGGGUGAUUCCCGAGGAAUUUAGUGAUUUGAUGGAUAACGUGAUAAGUUAUGAGUUUUGGAGGAUUGGAUUAUGAUAUGAGAUUUAUUUUAUUGUUAAAUAGAAUAAAGAUUUGAAAAUAAUAUAAAAUAUUUAGUUGAGGGCUGUUUUGAUAUUUUAGAUAGUUUUGGGGGUGAAAGUGAGAUAAGAUAAGUAAUUAGGAAGAGAUAUAAAUAGGAGAAGACCUAAUAUUUUAGAAACUCAUUGUACGUGAAAACUUUUGAAAAAGGGAGAAAAGCUUAGAAGGGAGAAGAGCAUAGAGAGGGCUGCGAUUUCUUCAUAACCAGGUAAGGGUGAGACUAAUAAUUCAAUAAUGUUAAUUACUGUAAUUCUGAUGAUUAGUUGACAAAGUUAGGAUUGAUUUAGAGAAGUUUUGGAAUUAGGUCAAAACCCUAAAAAUUGAUGAUCAAACGGUAAAACUUGUUAGAUUGAUGAAAGAACCGUCCUUUAACCUUAGAAUAUGUUUAGGAUGAAUUCUGGAAUCAAAACCACGCUUUGAACCAUGUUGUGUGAUGGAUUUUUGAGAAAAACCCUAGUCUGCCCGUGCUUCUGUUCAUCACUCGCCACGGCGAGGGAUGAUCCUCGCCUCGCGAGUGAUGAACUUCAUCGCUCGCCACGCGAGCCCCCCUUCCCUUCGCCUCGCGAGUUGUUUGGUGCAACUCGCCAUGGCGAGCAACCCUUCCUCGCCUCGCGAGCUUAGGCAGAGUGCAUGUCAUAUUUCGUGUUUCGACCUUUUUAGUUGAAUCUUGUAUGCCUUUGAGUACCUGAACAUACCUAGUAUUGAUUAGGAAUGAAUGUAGGAUCAGAGGGAACCCAGAACAACCUUAGUUUGGGAGUUGAGUGGUACUCGCCAUGGCGAGUAAGUACUCUCGCCUCGCGAGUACAACCAGGAUGAAUUUGUUUAUGUGUUUAUGCGAUCUGUGUCGCACUUGUUGAUCAAGAGUGAACCCCUAACUGGUAAUGAGACCUAGUGAUGUCGUUUAAUGCAGACUGUAGAGUUGUCUAAGUUAUAUUAAUAUUAAUUGAAUAUGAACUAUUGCAUUGUAUAUUCAUGCAAGAUAAGAAGAUGUGAUAAUGAUACAAAUUAUGUGCUUGAUAUAACGAUAUCAUCUUGUUAUGUGACCUGUUUAUGCUGCUUCCAUUAUUUAACUAAGUGCAUAAUUAUAUGAUGAAGUUUAGCUCCAAAUUAUUGGAUGCAUGUUGAUAAGUGAUUACGAUGUUUUGUUCAUAUGUGUCCAUGCAUAGCAUAUCAUUGAGCUUAGUCCUCACCACGAAUAUUAGGAGUUUUGUCCUCCGCACGUUUUAUAGGAGCUUUGUCCUCCGCACGAUUAAAGUAUAUUAAUACUUAUGAUGACGAUUGGUACCACAUGCAUAUAAGGAGUCUAGGAGCAUUGUCACAUUGUCAUGAUUAAGAUGCCUUGUUGGUAAUGAAUGAAUAUGUGAUUACGUGAUAAGUGUUUAUUGAUUAUGUUACGUUGUUCAUAAUGAAUUGGAUAUAUGAUUACGUGAUAACUGUUUAGCAUUUAUGCAAAGUUAAUAAUGGAAUGAUUAUGAUGUUAAUGUUAAUUAUGAUUCAAAUGACUUUGAUUAGCAUUAUUUUGUUAUGAAAUCUCACCCCUUCUGCUUGAAAAUGUUGUCCUUCGUAUGGGUAACUUGCAGGUGAUCGUGCUUAGUGUGCAGUUGCUUCUGUGAGUGGCCUUGCCUCACUGUGUCGUCUAGGUCGCUCUGAUACGUAACGGGAUGGGGUUUAUGUUUAUGCAUGCUUCAUUCUCUUACGUGACUAUUAUGUUAUUUUUAUAAUGUUAUGGAUUACAAUAUGAACAUGUUUGAUGGGGCCUGCGUGCCAAAACGUUUUAUGAAUUAUGACUAUGAUAUAAUUUCCGCUGCAAUGUUUAAGAUAUUGGUUAAAAUUAUUAUUUAACUGUUUUGGAUUAUGUUUUAUGUGAUAUCCCGUUGAUUAUGAUGCUUACUCUAAUAAAUGUUUUUAAGAAUUUUUAUGUUGGGAAAACGGAGUGUUACAUUCUCAUACUUCCAGAUUACCAAAAUCCAAAUAAACUCGGCUUAAAAAUCAUGUUUCGCAUCAAGGGACAUAGAAGUACAAGUUCAAACUUCUCAUUUAUCAUUUUUGUAACCACAUAGGCUAAAAUCUCAUUUUCCCGACAAGGGUCAUUUCGAUACUUUCAUUUUACCAAAUUUAAAACCAGAUAGGUUCAAAUAUCAUGUUUUCAAUCAAAGGACAUCAAGGGACAACUUCAACCUUCAUAUUUAUCAAAUUAAAAUUGUAACUAGGCUUAAAUAUGUAUUUGAUCCCUGCAAUUAGGGAUCGUUUAAAAAUUGGUUCCUGUAUUCGCUAAUCCUUGCAAACCAGCCUUGCAAUCAUUAAUCAUUUAAAAUUUCGUCCAUGAGUCCAGUUAAUAACUGCCACGUCAUCAAAUUAGCAAAAUGGCAUGGGAAUGGACAAAAAUGCCCUUACCCAUUUCUUCUUCUUCCCUUCCCUUAUUCUUUUCUAAAACCCAGUCCAUGUUUCAAGCUUCACAUUUUUUUUUUUUCGAAAAUAAAAUUCCUCCUUCUUUGAGAUUGUCACAAAAAUUCUGCUCAAUUCUUUAAUAAAGUAAUGAAGUAAUUUUGUUUUCUUCAACAAAACAACACCGCAUCACACCAAGUUGUUACACAUCAAACAAACCCAAAGCACAAAACACAAAUGAAAUAACUUAGAUCCACAAGCCAAUAGCCUCUUUAUUAUCAGAGCCAUAUUGCCAACACUACUAUCGUUCCUCUUCUGUAUCGCCUUUUGCUUUAUGGGUAAUCCAUUAACCGUCCAAUCUCCGACGAGCGCUUUUGAAUGGAUCUGGACUUUAAUUUUGAUUCGUGCGGUUUUUCCGGCAAGUUCAUGGUGGGAGGGGUUGAGGAGGUUACCGCCGACAGUGAAAAAGAUUACGUAGUUUAAAAAGGUUACCCCCACUUUCCUUCAUCACGAUGAUGACACUCAUCACCACCGUUUUCACCACUCACCACCACCGCGGAGUUGCUACGAGAACAAGGUGCACUGUUAACUUUCUGGGUCACCGGAGUUCCGGUGAUGAAGUUGUUAGGCAACAUGAAAGAAGGAUUGGGAUUUAGAGAAGAAGAAGAAGAAGAAAUGGGUAACAAGAUGAGAAGAGAAGGGAAGGGAAGGACAUUUUUAUCCAUUCCCAUGUCAUUUUGCUAAUUUAAUGACGUGGCAGUAAUUAACUGGGUUCAGGGACGAAAUUUUAAAUGAUUAACGAUUGCAAGGCUGGUUUGCAAGGAUUAGUGAAUACAGGGAUCAAUUUUUAAACGACCCAUAAUUGCAGGAAUUAAAUACAUAUUUAAGCCUUGCAACUAUAUAGGCUAAAAUCUCGUUUUCGCGACAAGGAACAUUCCAAUACUUUCAUUUUACCGAAUACGAAAUCAAAUAGGUUCACAUAUCAUGUUUCGCAUCAAGGGACAUGUUCAACCUUCAUAUUUAUGAAACUUGUAACAAUAUAAGCUAAAAUCUCGUUUUUGCGACAAGGAUCAUCUCAUUACUUUCUAUUUAUCAAAUUUAAAACCAAAUAGGUUCAAAUAUUAUGUUACACAUCAAAGGACAUCGAGGGACAAAUUCAACCUUCAUAUUUAUCAAACAUCUAACCAUAUAGGCUAAAAUCUCAUUUUUGCGACAAGGGUCAUUCCAAUACUUUCAUUUUACCGAAUACAAAACCAAAUAGGUUCACAUAUCAUAUUUCGCAUCAAGGGACAUCGAGGGACAAGUUCAACCUUUAUCAAACAUCAAACCAUAUAGGCUAAAAUCUCAUUUUUCGCAUCAUGUUUCACAUUAAGGGACAAGUUCAAACUUCCCAUUUAUCAAACUUGUAGGCAUAUAGACCAAAAUCUCG
rnacentral:lncRNA from 1 species